rnacentral:lncRNA from 1 species
CCAUAGGUGCUUCACCAGUGCAGCAGCCAGUAUGGCGGGUGUGGAGCAGCACGAGGGCACCAUCCAGGUGCAGGGCCAGAGCCUCUUCUUCCGAGAGGCUCGGCCAGGCGGUGGACAGGCUGCCUGCUUCUCAGUUCUGCUGUUGCAUGGUAUCCGCUUCUCCUCUGAGACCUGGCAGAACCUGGGCACGCUGCACAGUCUGGCUCAGGCUGGCUACCGGGCUGUGGCCAUCGACCUGCCAGGUACUUCUGGGGUGGGCUCCUGGACAGGGGUUGUGGGGGCCUCACUGGGGGCUGGGGGACUUGGGAGGACCUGGCCAGGCUGGGCCCCAAGCUCCACAGGGCACGGUGCACACUGUGGGGCCUUCCACUGUCUCUAGUCUCCAUCCGGAUGUGAUCUGGACACUGUCCAGAUCCUUCUAACUGUGUUGUCCUGGGGCAGUGUCUCAGUAUCUCUGAGCCUCUGUUUCCUCAUCUGUAACGGGAGAUACAUUCAUUUUGAGGGUUGGCUCUAGUGAGAAUGGACUGAGAUUAUGUGAAUAGUGGCCAGUACCUGACACCCAGUAAUCGGUGCUCAGCCAAUUGGAAGUAAAAUCUUUUGAUGGAGCCAUAACCAUAGGGUCUGUUGGAAGUCCUGCCUAGUAAGACUGAAUCUUCUGACACAUUUGGGGGUGGGGCAGACCCUGGAGGGUGGCUAAGCCAUGUACAAAGCCCUAAACUGGGUUCUGGAGUAGGCAGGGACAGCCCCAGACUGGCAGUCAUAACCUAGACAUGGUGACAUGUGAAGGGGCAGCAUAGCUGACCUGUUCCCCUCACAGGCAUGGCUGCCAUGUUUUCAGUGCCCAGGUGUGGGCCUCUAGGCCCAGAUGGAAUUGGUUCAGACAGUGGGUUGGGCUGAUCUUCCAGGUGAAGGUCUUAAGCUAAUCUUUGUGGGAAAGGUACGACUAAUUGGAGGGGAGGUCCAUGUGCAGAGCGAGCUCCUCAGUCACUGUCCGUUCUGCCAGCCCUGGGAUGGGUGUCUCUUAACCAGUUAACUCACUUAAUUUUCACAACAAUCUGAAACGACAGAUACUUUUGUUAUCUCCUUUAACACACGGGGAAACUGAGCAGCCGAGAGAGGGUUGAGGAGGGUUUCCCAAGGUCACAUAGAUAGUAAGUGGAAGACUGAGACUUGGACCCAGCUGGGUUGGACUUCAGAGCCUGAUCCUUUCCAGGACCACUCUACUGCCGGGAGAGAUGGGCACAGACAUCGAGGGAAAUGCCUCAUGCUUGCCACAGAUAAUGGUAGAUCUAGGCUGCUGUAGGAAUAAGCUUGGGUACGCUGUGUGCUGCAGGAACCUGGCACAGAAAGAUCCACCUAGGAGGACUUCCUGGAGGAAGGGACUGUCUCUUCCACUUCCCGAUUCAUGCCUUUGUCUUUCUCACACCUGAAUCCCUGCAGGUCUGGGGCGCUCCAAGGAAGCAGCAGCCCCUGCCCCUAUUGGAGAGCUGGUCCCCAGCAGCUUCCUGGCAGCUGUGGUAGAUGCCUUGGACCUGGGUCCCCCAGUUGUGAUCAGCCCGUCGUUGAGUGGCAUGUACUCCCUGCCCUUCCUGACAGCCCCCAGCUCCCAGCUCCGGGGCUACGUGCCAGUGGCCCCUAUCUGCACUGACAAAAUCAAUGCUGCCGACUAUGCCAGUGUGAAGGUACCCCUGUGUGGGAGGCUGAGAUCCCCCUGCCACGAGCAAGGAAGGGUCCAUCCUGGGGCCUUUCCUCACCUGGGGGCAGGGUAACCAAGGGGUGUCUUCUGGGAGGAGCUAAAUGACCAAACUCCACCCUUUUGGUUUACUUAGCAGAUUACUGUGCCUUGGCCUGUGUUAAUCUGUAUGCUGGGGCAGACAACAUCCAUGCCUCUAUCCGCCUGGAGCUGGGGCUUCUACCACCCACUGGGCCAGCUUGUCUCUCCCCCUAAUUUGGGGUGACCCCAGGGAGAGACUGAAGUGAUUGUGGGGCUAGAGCUGACUUCUAGGAGGCUGGGGCCGGUGUGUCAGGUCCCUGUUCACUCUGUCUCCCUUUCCUUUCUCUAGACCUCAACACUUAUUGUAUAUGGAGACCAGGACCCCAUGGGUCUGACCAGCUUUGAGCACCUGAAGCAUCUGCCCAACCACCGUGUGUUGGUCAUGGAGGGGGCAGGGCACCCCUGUUACCUUGACAAACCUGGGGAGUGGCACACAGGGUUGCUGGAUUUCCUGCAGGGGCUAGCAUGAAAUCCAGCCCUGCUGAUGGGGGUGGCUGCUGGUCUGCCUUGGGCUCUGUCUCCUUCCUCCUGCCAUGGGUCCCUGUGCAUCAUGUACAUGCAACAGGUGUGUCUCUAUCUGGUUUCUUGUCUUUGGGGUCUAUCUUUUCCUCUUCCUCUUUCUCUUGCAGUGACAGACUUUGGAGGUGAAAUAAAGAAGAAAAGCCCCAGGAAUCAAGAGACAUAAUCUGGUGGAGGGUAAUCCAUUAGAUGGGCUUCUCCUAUAGGCUUUCCUGUUUGCUUGCACCCCUUUUUCUGCCCUGUUCAGCCUCCCCAUCCUGCCUCCAGCUUCUCUUUGGCUGUCCUAUGGGGCAUUCACAUCCCCUACCCCUGCCUUAGACCACACAUACAUCCAGAUACAUCCAUGACCACAUGCAUGCUUACACAUUUAGAGCCAUCUAUAUUCCCAAAUAUGACCCUUCACCUGGGAGCAACUGCAUAGGUACAGGCAACUCUGGGCUGACAUGCACAUUGUCACCUGCAGCUUUGCCCUGCAUGCACUCACACACAUACAUUCUUGUGCCUCCACACAUGCCCCCUCCCAACCAUGCAGCACCCACUGUUCAGGAAGGUGGGGACCCAAUAGGCCAGUCCUAGCAGGAGGCCCUCUGCCAAGCUUAGGGGUAGCCAGCCCUGAACUUCAUUCACCCACAGGUUGCAGCAGGCCCCCCGACCAGAACUGCCCCCCAAAAGGUGACAUCUUUUCGACCCUCAGAUCUCCCUGCCCUCCCCUCCUCUCUUUCUGGGUGCUCCACACCUCCCCAGGUUAUUAGGCCUGCAUCUGCUCAGCCAAGCUUGUUUCCUGCUCUGAGGUUUGGGGGUUGGGGAGACGGAGAGUGGAGAGUGGAGGUCGGUGAAAUAAAGUGAUGCAAUUAGACCCCGCAGGCUUUCGCUGUCUCCAGAGCGCCGCCCCUCCCCCGUCCCUGGGGACAGCCACUGUGGGCCCCUCCCCCACCCUGGCGGGACCAGAUGGUCCCCCUGCCCUUUGUCCACCCGGCCAGAUGGAGGGGAAGGGAGAUUGGAUUCCCCUCCCCACCCACACACACCCAGGUGCCAAGAGACUCAGCUGUGGGGGGAGGUGGAGGUCAGUGGGACCAGGCUGAGCCGAUUACGAAGGAGAGGGGGAGGUAGAUCUGCUCCCCAGGGGGUGCGGUGGGGGAAGGAGAGGGCUUGGGGGACCGUCCAACUCCUCCCAUUCCCUAGCAGAGUACUCUACUGCGUCGCGGCCCUUGCGACCCCAGUCCCCAGGAGGAAUUCUGGGGGGUAGCUUUGGGAGAAUGGCGGGGCGGGCUGCACGGGAUCACACCGCUCUCAGGCCCCUCCUCCAGCUGGUCCGGUAACUUGUCCCGGGUGGACAAGGGCCGGGCCUCGCGGAAGCUGUGGGUGGUUGAGGGGCGCGGGUCUUGGUGGGCGAGAGCCCCGCGCGGGGUUGCGGGGAUGGAAGGCGCAGAAGCGAGCAGAGCUGGGAACCGGGUCGGGCGGAGGGUCGAAAUCCGGGCUCCGAGGGAUCCGAGCCCGAGCGAGGCAGCGUGGGGCCUGGCGGCCGGCCGGCGACCGAGAUUUGGGAGCGGUGGGCUCGGCGCAGGCGCCGGGCGGGCGGCCCUGGCGGGCAGAGAGCGCAGGGGCUCGGGGCCAGGCACCGCGGGACCACUGGGCGGUCGCUCGCGGCCGGGCACCCCCUCCACCCCUACCCAGCCAGGUCCCCCGCUCUCGGCGCGCGGACGACCUCCCGGGGGAGGGUCGCACCAGCCCUCCCGGAAGCGGCCACCGCUCGGGGCGCACCGCGGCGCGCGGGGCGGGGCGGGCGGCUGCGGCACUGGGGCGGCUGGGGCGGGCCCGCCGCGCUGUAAUCGGAUCCGGGGAGGGGGCGGGGAGGGGCCGGGCCGGGCGGGCCGGGGGGGGGGGGGGGGGGGGGGGGGGGGGGGCGGGGGGGGGGGGGGGGGGGGGGGGGGGGCGGGGGGGGGGGGGGGGGGGGGGGGGGGGGGGCGCGGAGCCGGGCUCCGGGCCGGCCGGGCUCCGCGCCUGUCAAACCCCUCAUUGUUCGCAGCUGAUGUCACUCGCAGUUGUGAGCGGCCGCCUCUCCCGGGGACAAUGUGGGACUGAGCGGCCCAGCCGCCGCGCCGCCGCCGCCGCCGCCGCCGCAGGACAGCCCCAGCGAGGUAGGGCGCGGGCCGGGCGGGGCACCGCGGGCCGCGAAGUUUGGGGGUUCGGCUGGGGGGUGGGGAGCCCGCGCUGGAGUCUACAGGCCGGGGUCCAGAUUUGGGAGACUGGGAGACAUGCUUCCCUGUCCCACUCGGGCCCAGGCCUGCACAGGUGGGGGGCGCUGCUCUGCCAGAGGAGCCCCCAGCACCAAGGGAGGGCCUUCCUGGACCUGAGACCCCAGAUUCGAGGCCCACAUCCCACCUGCUGUUUCUGUUCUUUGGACCUGCUCUUCUCUCGAUCUCCUGCCUUGGGUUCUGGUUCUGCUCCAUCUCUAUCCCCAUCUGCCAUUCCCCUGCAGUUCCUGGCUGGACACACACCCCUUCCCAUUCUCCGCAGUCCUUGAUUUGGGGGGGUGGGGGCGGCAGACAGAUCUCCAUCCAGGGGUGUGUGGAGAUGACAGUUGGGGGCUCAGAGUGGUCCUUCACGCCCUGUGGCUCUUCAGCCCCUCAGCUCUGACCUAGCUUCUAGCUGGAGUCCUGGAGGACAGGGGGUGUCUCUGGCUACUCACUUCAGCCUGGCUCUCAUGCCUGCCUGGCCAGGAGAGGGAGGUGCCCACCUCCUCACUCCCCUGUCCCAGGCCCGCCAUCUUGAGACCUGUGGCACCCAGUGCUCCGCCCGGCUCCAGCACCAUGGGGAGUGGUCUUCAAGGGGAUGCACCCACAGCCAGUUGCAUGCCCUCCUUCCAGAAUGUGGGCUCUUGGUCCCCACCAAGCCCACAAUGUUUACCUUUAUGCUGGACCAACAGGGCAUGUAUCCCUAGGGGCCCUCCUUCUCCUACAAAGAGCUCUUAGACCCCAGGGACUCUCCAGGAGCUUAAACCUUAGCUCCAGUCUUCACUCUUUCCUGAGGUUACCCUCACUGCUUCAGGGCCAGCACCUGGGAUCCUAUCCUUUUCCCAUCUGAAGGUCCCCUAGUUGCUCUGGGCCCUGGAACCCCCUCAAUCUCCAAAGCACCCCCAUCCCAGCCCCCACCCCCCAGCCUUCAUCAGCAUGCAGGCUCAGACUGCCCAAACACAAGGGGAUUGUUCUUCCUGCAUGCUCAGGGUGGGGGGCUGGGAGCAGGCGGCCCACACACCCUGGCAGGCCCAGGCCACAGGGAGGCUGGCUUUGCCCCGCCCUGUGUCCCCAGACAGGCUCUGUCCACCCUCCCUACUCCCAUCCCUGCCACCUACCCCCCCUCUAGCCUCCAUCACCAUUGCCCAGUGGCAUUGACCUCUUGAGGAAAGAGCUCUGAGCUGCACAGGUGGACCCCUGGUUCUCCCAGCUCUGCCAGUUGCCUUCCAUGUAGCCUUGUAAACAAAUGCGUUCCUCUUUGGGCCUCAGGUUCUGAUUUUGUGAAACCUGCGCCACUCCCCAGCUCUUCUUCCAGCCUCCCUUCCACAUGGGGAACCCAUUCUGGGCCCCUGGAAGUCUCAAAGCACAGCACAAAUUCCCCACCCCAGUGACAUGCCCUGGAAGCACCUAGAUCCAAAGAAACAGCAGGAGCAGGGGCUCUGCUGAGGAAUGGAGAGAGGAUUCUGUCUAGCCAGAUCCUGGGCCUCCUAUGUGGCUGGUCCCCCCAUGCUCUGAUCUUCUCACCCCAUCCUCACUGCUUCUCUGGGACCCUCAGCCCCAUCUCUGGUCCCUAAUGCCGCCAGGCCCUUCUCCCUGCACACGUCCUGGCUCCUGAUCUCCUGGAGGAACUCUUACUUUCCUGGGGAGUAGAAAGAUAGGCUUGAAAAUGCCCAGUUGGGGCUCCUUUGAGUUGAGGCAUAUCUUUAAGGGGCACAGAGGCCUGAGUGGUUAUAUCUGACUUGGAAGGUUGGGGAAGGCUUCACAGAGGAGGUGGCAUUUGAGAAGGAUUUUGACAGAGAGUGAGGAGGAUGGGCAUUUCAAGCUGGGUUCAGCCUGGGCAAAGGCCCAGAGGCCUGGAGGUGCUAGGCGUGUUUUGCAGCCUGGUGUGUAGGGGAGAAGGGGUAGAGAUGAGAGAAGAGAAGCUGGCAGGGACCAGAUCACAAAGGGCCUUGAGUGCUUGUCUGUGGUGAUCAGGCUUUAUUCCUUGGGCACUGGGGAGCCAUCGAUGGCUGUUGAGCAGCAGAAUGACCGAGUCUCCAGCAUGGAAAAUAAAAGCUAGAGACCUUUCUCAAUUUGGGUGAGGCAAAGGGUAUCAGGGGGUGGGGCUGUACCAUGAAGCUGUGUCCUUCCUCCUGGAGCCCAGUCUGGGCCUGCCUCAGUUUCCCUCGGCUGUGAGGACUCUUGAGGAGUUGCCUAAUGAUGCCCUAAGGAGGCUAUAGCAUUUCUGACACCAGACAACUUGUCAGAGCUCCCCUUCGCUGCCUAGCACAGAUUCUACAGGAUAGCUUUGGGUCAGGAAACCAGAGGGUGGAGCUCAUGGACCCCCCAGGCUGCUCCCCUGCAGGCCUCUCCUCCCCUGACUCUCCCAAGAAGUGCUAUGAAUGGUCAUCCUGGGAAGCUGUAAGGCUGAGAGGCUGGGCACAUGGGUCGGAGGAUACUGGAACAUUUCUUGUGGAGGCCUGGGGAAUCAAGAAGGGGGAGCAUACCCAGUGAAGGGGAUAGGCAAGGGAGUUAGGAUCCCUCCCUCAGUGCUGAUCUCCCCAAGCCUAGUGUCCACCUCCCGCCACGCCCUGCUUCGCCUGAUGUCCCGAGCCAUUCCCCAGCAUCACUGGGUGUGGCCAGCAUGGCUGCUUUUGGAUUAGGAGUAGGAGGCUGCUAGGUUGGAGCCUGGUGGUGCUGAGGGGGAUGUCAGGGGAUGUGAGGUGGGGGAUGAACUUGGAGACUGCCCCCCACACACACACACUUUCUCUCUAGCCCAGGUGGGUCUGUAGGCCCUGGUUGGUUGGUCCAGACACUGGCUAGCAGAGCCAAGGGAAUCCCCCAAGGGGCGGUCCCGUCCACUUGAGUUGCCUGGCCCCAGGAGCCCUCCCCUCCCCCGGAUUGUUCUUGCUCCAGAACAAAGCCAGGGUGGACACUUGAUCCCUGCAUGUGGGGGGGAGCUGGCUAAGCCCCCGGCCCUUUGAUUGGGCAGCUGUCAUGAGAGAGAGACAGCUGGGGGGGAGGGGCAGGAAGGGGCAGCCGCCAUCGCUUACACAGCUGUCACCCCCCCCCCCCGCCCCCUCCAGCCUGGGUGGCAGGAAGCCAGGGACAGAAGGAGUGGGCACUCGAUCUGGGGAGGGGGCCUGGGGAGCAGAAGGGAACACCCGAGGUCAGAGGCCUGGUCUGAGCUUGGUAUGUUCUGCCAAGGAACCCUGCUGACCAGAGGGGGCUGGGCACCCCCAGAGGUGAGCUGGAGGUCAGUAUGGCAUGACGUGUGGCUGCCAUGUGGGUGGCCCAGCAGGGACCCAGGGCCCACCAGCAAAUAACUCCCUAGAACCCUGGUGAGGGCAGAAGGGGAGCCAGCACGCCUAAUAGGACUGUUUGCUCUUAGGGCCCCUAGGAGACUAAUUUGGGAAACCUGUGUCAGGAACUCUUGUUCUCUCCUAAAAACAGGAAAGAUCUUGAGGGUGUCUCAGAACAGGAAGGACACAGAGAUACCAGCACCAGCAACCCCCAGCCCCAUACAUACACACAUAGCACAGGUGGGUAAACUGAGGUCCAUGUCAGGUGAAGGCCUGGCCAAGGUCACCCAUGGAACUUGAGGCAGUGGGCUCUACUACAGACCCAGGUACCGUUUGCAGGGCAGGAACUCUAGUUCUGGCCACAUUCUAGGCCCUUUGCCUUUUUUUCCUCAAGCCUUAUGACCCCAAGAGGUAAUGUGGCAAUGGUAUGGGGACAGUGUGAAGUCUCCCACUGAUUGCCACUCCAAAGGAGUCCCUGAGUGUCUGAAAAUUCUGGAGCCUAAGACCGUAGCUUUGGACAAGUUGUCAGUCCUUUCCAGACAUGACCCACAUGUACUAGCCAGGCAGGGGUCUCACAGACUACUAAGUCUGCUCCUCACCUUUCAAGAGCCCUGCUCCAGGAAGAGGACUGACAAAUCCAGACGGGACAGCCAGAAAGGAGAGGCGGACGGGGCCUGUGACAGAGCCCCACACUAGCAGGCAGGACUGUGCUUUCCCCCACCUCUCUGUGACCUUGGGCAGGUUAUAGACCCUCUGUUGGCAUCAGGUUGCCUUCUGUCUGGUGAAUUCAUUUGUUCAGCUCACCAUUAUGUUCUGAACACCUUCUCCAGCUUGGCUCUGGUCUGAGCUCUGGGGACACAAAGAGAAGGUGGCAGCCUUGGCCCCUGCUCUAAGGGGCUCCCAAGCUUGGCUGUCCGGGGAGGCACAAACUAAGCACGUCAUUACAAGUGCUUUGCUGGAGGAAGUGCAUGCAGCUGGGGGAACAUUCGCAAGGGCAGCCAGCAUGAGGCUGGCCAGGAUGCUCACAGAACAGAGUCCCUGUAUCCACUGUUGACUUCUGACCUCUGGAGAGCCUAUGGACAGGACUCAAGGGGAGGGAGGAGCCUGUGCUGGGGAGACAAGUUACUGAGUGCUUGGGGGGACAGCAUUGUCCCCCAACGGUACAGGGAAGGAACAGGCCUCAUGCCGUAGAGUGGCUUGCUUGGGCUUCCUGAGAAAGCCAGGCUGGGGGCACCCCUUUCCUACUCCACGCCCAAGCUCUGGCUAGCACGGGGGUUCCAACGAGGGGAUUGGACAAUGCUCCACGCCCUUGACCCUCAUGUCAGAAUAGGGCAGGGGGCUGAGGAAGAAGGUGCCCAGAGGUCUCUAGAGUGCUCUAGGCAGGCACACUCAUCCUUGGCUCCCACACCCUCUUGGGCAGAAGGAAUUUGCAGAGUUAGGGCUUGGUCUUGGCUCAGCUUUGGCACCAAUUGGUCCCACUCCAUUUUCUGCCUUGGGUUCUGGUCCCCCAGUUAGCUCCCCAUCAAGGCUGAGCCUUGGUAGGAGACAGCCGGCUGGAGGAGAGGGAUUUCCAAGCAGGAUUAAGGUUCAGGAUUAAGUCGGGGCAUGAAAAGGGGUCGGGUAGGGAGGGCUGGGAGGGCUGGCGGCUGGGCUAAUCCCAGAAGCUAAUCUCUGGCUCCUCCUUCCUCUGUCAGUUAACAGUUAACGGCCUUGACAUUUCCCAGCCCCCAAAUCCCUUUCUUACCCAUCACCCAGUCCCAGGGGGGAAGCAUUCUCUCCAUUUUAUAGGUGAGGAAAUUGAGACUGGGAGCCCAGUGACUUGUGUCUGGUGCAGUAGAAAGUAUUCCUGGCUGGGAAUGUGGCCACUUCUUACCUCUGCAACACACAGGAGAUGGCUUGGAAAACCAUUAUGCAGACUGCUGGUCUCCUGACAUCACCCCCCUUACCCCAUGUGCUGAAUGAAUCCUGCUGUCUGCAGGGAGGCUCUGCUUUAGUGACCAGUGGAGGUGGUAUUCCCAGCCCUUGUGCCCCAAUCCCCACAAGCCUCUGCCAGGCAGUGGGAAGGCUGGGGCAAAUGGACCCUCCUAGAACCUUGCUAUCUUUACUUCCACCCUCCUUUCAAGGCCUUCCUGUGGCUCCCGAUGGGCUCUCCAGCCUCAGCUGCAGCAGCAACUCCAUGUUAUAGUCCUGGGGCAGGGGCGGGGGGUGGGGAGCUCUGGCUCCUGGAUGCAAGUGCUUCUCAUUUGAAAUAACUUCAACCUUAACCAAACUUUCAAGGCCCAAUCCACAGGGGUCCCCUUUUCCAAAAGGUCAGAGAGGAGGCUCUCCCUCUCUGGACUCCCAUAGGCCUCCUGGUUAAUUUUUCUAAUAUAUGUGGGAAAGGGAAGGAUACCCAUGGAGACUGGCUGCCUACCGCAUAUGUACUUAGCUCAUUUUAAUUCUCAUAACUCUUUGAUGGUAGGACUUGGUAGUCUCCUCUUACAGAUGAGGAAGCGGAGGCUCAGAUGGGUUAAAUGAACUGUCCAGGGUUACCUAGCAAGUAGUUGUAUACAAGGACACCGGUCAGUGUGACAUUCGAAACUGUCUCUCUUCUGUAGGAAUUUAGUUAGUUUGGCUCUGAUAUCUUCAUGUAAGGGCAGGGAACCCAAAAGAGACCUGGGCUCCUCUCUAACCCCGCUUCUGCUGCACCCACCAGAGCCGGCUGGGCACCGUGGACGCACCCCCAGGCCGCUGUGGCCCCAGCCCCGCCUGACAGGAUGAGCGGUUCAGAUGCGGGGCUGGAGGA